rnacentral:tRNA from 1 species
GUUGGUGUAGCUUAGUGGUAGAGCUCUUGCCUAGCACCUGCAAAGGCCUGGGUUAAGUCCCCAGCACUACA